CCUCCAAGGCUAAAUACUCCUGACUGACCGAUAGUGAACCAGUACCGUGAGGGAAAGGCGAAAAGAACCCCGGCGAGGGGAGUGAAAAAGAACCUGAAACCGUGUACGUACAAGCAGUGGGAGCACCUUCGGGUGUGACUGCGUACCUUUUGUAUAAUGGGUCAGCGACUUAUAUUCUGUAGCAAGGUUAACCGUAUAGGGGAGCCGGAGGGAAACCGAGUCUUAAUUGGGCGUUAAGUUGCAGGGUAUAGACCCGAAACC
rnacentral:rRNA from 1 species